rnacentral:rRNA from 1 species
CCUACGGGUGGCAGCAGUGGGGAAUAUUGGACAAUGGGGGAAACCCUGAUCCAGCGACGCCGCGUGAGUGAAGAAGUAUUUCGGUACGUAAAGCUCUAUCAGCAGGAAAGAAAAUGACGGUACCUGACUAAGAAGCCCCGGCUAACUACGUGCCAGCAGCCGCGGUAAUACGUAGGGGGCAAGCGUUAUCCGGAUUUACUGGGUGUAAAGGGAGCGUAGACGGCGAGGUAAGCCUGAAGUGGAAGCCCGCGGCCCAACCGCGGAACUGCUUUGGGAACUGUUUUGCUGGAGUAUGGGAGGGGUAAGCGGAAUUCCUGGUGUAGCGGUGAAAUGCGUAGAUAUCAGGAGGAACACCGGUGGCGAAGGCGGCUUACUGGACCAUAACUGACGUUGAGGCUCGAAAGCGUGGGGAGCGAACAGGAUUAGAUACACCUGUAGUC